CUUGUGUCCACUGCCUCGGAGAGAGGAAUGCCGGGAUAACUAGUCGUGACGUCAGCACGAGAAAUGCUUCCUGGACGAGGAAGAUCACGUGACCGCUAUCUGAAUCGGUGGCCAGAGAUAAGAUCGGCACAGCAAGUAAAUUGGGGCACUUCAAUGCAACAUACAAGUUAUCUUGGCCUGAAAGGUUCCUGUUGUAACUAGCAAGGACUGUACAUUCAUUAAAAUGUGAAGAGCUGUGAACCCAACUGACUUCCACAUUGCUAAGAGCACAGAGAUGAAACAGAACUAUUAAUAUCCUGAACAUAAAAGAAGGCCUCUACUAUUAUAGGGAUUUCAGUCAAUUUAUAUAAAAAAAAAUGAGUGGAGAAAAAAAACUAGUGGGAAGUAAAGAGACAAAACAAAAGUAUCCAUCUACCAACGUCACAUCUACUGCUCUCCUGUAUUGCGGCCUGGCGCUCCUUGACUGGGGAAGGACACGAGCGCUAAAAACAGACUGCCAAUGCACAUUAGUAAGAUGGUGGUGUACUGGAAAACUCUCCGGACCAAAAGACAGAAGAGAACAGCAGUGGACAUGAUGUCAGCAGGAGGACCAUCUUGUUGAGUGGCCAAGAUCAUGUGUUUGGAUUUGCUAUCUACAGAUAAAGACCACAAAGAGCUGGCUGAUAGCUGGAUGGUCUGUAAUACAUUCUAUGGGUGAUGUCCGUGUGAACAUCUCCAAGGAAUAGUUCCUCCACUAGGUGAUCCAGGUUAUGAUAUCAUAACUAACAUCCGUUUUCCAGGGCUUGUCUUCAGGUAUGAUGCCAGGACACGUUUGGUUCACCAACCAUGUUAGGUUCUCAGCCACACUUUCAAUGUGAGGUAUUAUUUGCACAUGAUGAAGUUGGUAAUCGGCCUC